AUUGAACGCUGGCGGCAGGCCUAACACAUGCAAGUCGAGCGGAGCGGCGGAAGGGGGAGGACUGCCUAGGAAUCUGCCUGGUGGUGGGGGAUAACGUCCGGAAGCGGGCGCUAAUACCGCAUACUAUCAGAUGAGCCUAGGUCGGAUUAGCUAGUUGGUGGGGUAAAGGCCUACCAAGGCGACGAUCCGUAACUGGUCUGAGAGGAUGAUCAGUCACACUGGAACUGAGACACGGCCCAGACUCCUACGGGAGGCAGCAGUGGGGAAUAUUGGACAAUGGGCGAAAGCCUGAUCCAGCAAUGCCGCGUGAGUGAAGAAGGUCUUCGGAUUGUAAAUCACUUUAAGUUGGGAGGCGGUACCAACACAAUAAGCAACGGCUAACUUCGUGCCAGCAGCCGCGGUAAUAC
rnacentral:rRNA from 1 species